UAUCGUGUUCCUGGUAGUCCCAGUGGUUCUUAAAAGUGAUAGGGCAAGGGGGAAUGAAUUCACAAAGAUAUAUGACAGAGUUAGGUGGGAUAUUGGCAAGAAAACUCUCCCUUGUAAGAGCAGUGAGGCCCUGGCACAGGUUGCCCAGAGAAUCUGUGGCUGCUCCAUUGCUGGCAAUGUUCUAAGAUCGGAUCUAGUGGAGCUGAUCUAGUGGAAGGUGCCUGCUGAUGGCAGAGGGUGGAACUAGAUGGGCUUUAAAUUCCCUUUCAACCCAAAACAUUCCGUGAUUCCACGAUAAAACACGGAGAUGGAUGUGAGCCUUCACUCACAGAAUGUGCAAGAGCAGGGAUGAUCUUGAGCGGGUGCCUUGUGAAGGUUUUGGGUGGUCAAUUCUAUGUGCAGGGACCAUAGGACUUUCUAACAGUAGAAAAUUAACUAUUUCUGCUCUUCUAAGCCAUGAACUUGAAGUCAGAUAUUCUUGUCAUGGUACUGCUUUCAAUCGUGCUGUAAAAAUAAUUUUUUGAGGUUCUUGCAUGGAGUUUUUAUCUGAACAUAAAUAGCAUGAAGGAUUGCUCCAGGGAGGAAAAAAUACUUUUGGCUCCUUCUUUUUAAGAGCUGGGCUGUUGCCUGUGCUUAGGGCGUUCUGGUAGAUCUUUUUUUGCAGAAUUUCUGGUUUAUUCUGUGAGUAACUCUGGCCAUUAAUCAAGAAGUACAUAAAUUAACAUUGUGGGAUUUUGUUUUUUAAAAUUGUAUUAAGGCACUUCUACAGCCUGUGUUUAGACACGCACAGCGCUAUGCUGUGAGGGAUCCAGGCACAAACAGGGAAUUUUGGCAUCAAUUUGGAAAGUAACGCAAUAGAGAUUUCCAAAGGUGUUCCAAGUCAAAGGAAUGGCUGGGCACAAGUGGUUUGAGCUUGGCAGGAUUCCCAGCAGGACCAAUGCAAGAUCUCCAGGUGUGGAGAUUUUAAAUUUUAGUCCUACAUUAGUAACAAUUCCACAGCUGGAAGUUUUAUUGAAAUCUGCCUGAGAAGGAUUGUAGGAGCAAAUUGCUUGAAAUGGCAGGGUUUAGGAUGGGUUCAGGGAAUGAAGAAACAGAUGAUGAGAGGAUCAAGGAGAAGACGAGUUUAUUAAAACUCAGAAUAUGAUAGCAGAGGUACAAAAAUUACAUUACUGAGCAUAAUGGGGAAUUAAAACAAUCCAGAUGUUGCAGACUAUGAUGAACUAUGGGAAGAAAUACAUCCUAAGGAUUGAGGCAACGUGAGGACAGCCAGCCACUGUAGCUGCAAACAUGAUUUUAAUAACUCAGGAAAGGCACAAAGGAGCAGUCUGGGAAGUGUCUGCCCUUCAUCUGUGCACACGGAGAUGCCUGCCUGCAAAUGGAGGUGCUGACCCAGUCUCCAGUGCUCAGAACAUCUCCCAUGUCCUGCAUUUGGGGAAUGAGGAACAAACAGAUUUGAAGGAUGAACAGACAAUCCAGUCAACUCUUCUAAGCAGACUGGGAAUUCUGCUUCUGCAACGGCAGGGACAAGAAUGAACUCAGUAGAUUUUGGAUAUGACAAAGUGGGCAGUUUUUGUGUUCUUCCUUGAGCUGCUUUGGCCUGAAUCCUAAUUGAUGUCUGUGAUGCUGUUUUGGAGUUUGGAAAGAUUAUUGAAAUAGGAACUGUAGUACCUGUGUCCUUGGCUGAUCAAACAAAGCAAUGCUAGAAGUGCCCAAUGCACUUUAAUUUUUUAUAAUAACAACUCAGUAGGAUUGUUCCAAUCCAGCUGGAGAAAGAAGCUUCAGGAGCCUUGCAGAACUAAGUGUCCUCUACAGCUCACCAGGAAGGACUGUAAGGACUCUUCUCAAGUUACAGACUACAAGAAGCAAGGAAGGGUUGAUGUCUUAUUUUUCACUGGGAUGACUGGAACAGAGAAAUUUUAACUGAGAUGACAAAGCUAUUUAAGUGUAUCAUUCUGAGCAGUAACUUAAGGUUCUGAAGGAUCUGGAUCCAAACAAUUUGCUCAAGAUCACGUUGAAAUUGUCUAUCAGAGUGUGAGGUCUGACUUCCCUGCAUCUGGACGCCCAUUUCUUGCUGAAGACAGGUAUUGCUGGAUCCAGGAGAGGAUGUUUGCAGAGUCUGUAACUUUGCACAUUUCCAUUCUGCCUGAGCCUCCCUUCAGCUCUCUGCGGUUGAGAAGUCAAGAAAAAAGCUGCUGUUGGCAGAAUUUGCUCUUGUGCUGAGAAUUGGCCUGAGGAGCUCAAGGGUGUGUUUUGGUGAGGUUUGCUUCAGACAGAGGCUUGAAAGCAGCUUUUCUCACACCCUGAUGACAACUGGAUGCACCUUACUCUCCCUUAGACCUUUAGAAGUAUUCAGGCUUGUGUGUUUCUGUACAAUCUCUUACAACCUAACAGGAAAGCCGAGGGUGAAGUUAUAUGAUACAGUUGAGCUGACCUAACAUCUUGCCCUGCUGUUGAAAGAGGCAGUUCUGCUCCUCCCCACUUCUCACUCCACAGUAUCAUGAUUAUCCCAUUCUCAACCUCCAUUUACUCAGUUUGAUCAUCCUAAUCAGUCUCCUUUAUGGGAUUCUCAGGCAGGACUGAGAAAUUUAGGGUUAUGUCUGACCCCUGAAGUCUGUCUGGUUUGAGCCAGUGACAAUUUUCAAGCAGUUCCCCCAGCUCAUUCUUGCAAGACAAUCUCUUCAUAUGUCUGCAGUGUCAGAUAUUGGAUUUAUUCUGAAAAAAUCCCUACAGUGUUCUGUCCUUUAGAGGAAGAGCAAGCUCCUUGGACUGAGGGUGUGAAGAGCAAAAGCUCACACAAACAGAGAACAGAACAGCUGCUUUCUUUAAAGAUGUGCCCCACAACUGAAAACCCCAGCUGUAAUUCUGAUAUGCAGAGGAGGAAGGUGACAGGGAACAGGAGGAACCAAUGGAUCCUGCCAACAGGAUCCCACCUCAUGAAGGACCCAAAAUGGCUCCAGCAAAAGAUGUAGCCUUGACCAGCUUCUACCAGGCUUCCCUCCUUGUGCCACAGCUUGGAAAGGACUGUGUGUGACUGGUGACAUCUACACCAAAAGGGAGCUUCCUUUCCAUGUCUUGGAAAUCAAAAAAUUGCCAUAAGAGGAUUUAUGAGAGAAGAAUGUCCAUAAAGCCUGAUUUGUGAAGUGUUAAAAUGAUGUCCUGGAAAGCCACACAAUGCCAAG